rnacentral:tRNA from 2 species
CAACAAAUAUUUUAUUAAAAAUUUAAUUUUUGGGAAAUUAGGAUAGGAUUAUUAUUCUUUUGUUGA